CUCGUGGGCGUCGCAGUUCACACACGUCACGGAUUCCGCCGAAAGAGUCGAUACUUAAAACUGAACUUUUGGAUCGAAGAUAUGCAUUUUCCUUGGCGGAGAUGCACAACUCUGACACUAGACAAUAUUAUACACUCGAAGGGAACGCGUUUCGCCGGAAGAAUAAAUAAUUACAAUUGGUAUUCGUCAGUGAAAAUUUUCAAACUGGGAAUAAUAUUAUAUCAUAAGCAGAUUGAAAUGUGUGAACGUUUCAGUGCUUCGAAGACUAAGUUUCGUAGCAGAUUUUGAUUCCGUCACGGGAUUUUGGAGAUUUUAGUUUGAAGUUUGAAUGUGUAUUCCUACAAUAUAAUUUAUUUAAAUGCCGAUCUGCAGCGUCGUGAAGGUUACAAGUAUGAAGCGUCAUAGGUAUAAUUAGAAAUUGAAUAAUGUUUUUUUAUAUUGCCCCAUAGACCUAAUUACAUAUAAAUAUUGUAAAAAGAGACAUGCCUUAUUUUUGAAGUUCGACCAAUGUAUUCUGAUGGACGAGGAGAGCUUUCCCGAGACACUCAGUGCCUAUAUGGCAGAAAAGUGUGACCAGGUGAAAGUGGCUGUGGACCCCGUUUUGCGGCGCCGGCGGAAAUAUAAUCCAGCUUGCCUGACCGUUCGACAAAGUCAUUUCUGUAGAUAUUGACGUAGACAUAAGAUAGUGAUGGCCAAGCAAAAUGCCGCGAUUUAUGGCGUACUAAAGAUUGAGUUCGUUGUUGGAGACUUUUUCAAACUGGCAAAUCAGAUACAGGGUAACUUUAUAGUCACAUCGCCACCAUGGUGCGGUCCAGAAUACAACAAAAUGGAUGUUAUCGAAAAUGUGUUUAUUUAAAAACUGUUUAACUCGACGUUGCUGUAUGUCUGGUCCAAUAAUAACAAUGCCGUAUCAGACGUCGCUCCCAAACCGGUCGACAUCCAUCUGCAUAGCUCAUUCCGCAAGAAUUAGCGGUAUAGUUUGAAAACUUACCAAAGUUAUCUGGUGGAUGUCGAUACGUUGGUGAGCAGCCGUCACACAUCGGUCUGAUGUAGCUACGGAAAGUUAUUAUUGGAUCGGUCAUAAUAUUACGUUGAGAAGUUAUCUGUUCAUGAACUCAUUUGCAGAUUUGUUGAGGUGUAACAGCAUUUUAGGAGCUAUUGUAAUUCCCACUUUAUCAUACAUAUAGCCCGAUGACCUACAUUUUUGUGUAUUCUGGUCUACCCUAUGAUGACCGCGAAGUAACGAUCACGUCACCGUUUAACAGAUUGCCCAGUUUAAAAGAGUAUCCAACAAUUUCAUCGGAUAGGUACGCCAUAAAUCGUGGCAUAGCGCUGGGCCAGCAUAAUUUUGUCCGGAUCAAUAUCUACAAAAAUGACAUCCCAAUUAUUAGAAGCUAAUAAUAUAGUGUCUUUGUCGAACAGUCAGCUGUACGAAAUUUCCGCUGCGCCACAAAACGGGUCGACGCCGGUCGCUGAACAUGGGAAGUCCUCAAGUCCACCCAGAAUCGUAUUGAUGAAUCAACAAUACAUCUUACAUCUUAAAUCUAACAUCUUAAAUCUUACAUAUAUCAUUGCAAUCUUAUAAUUAUUCACCUGAAUGCAUGUAAUCCUGAAUGUACAGUUAAUUUAUUGCUACCCAUCUACAAAG